ensembl:lncRNA
GGGGUAGUAGAGAGGUGUAAGAGAUGGGUCUGGGGUAGUAGAGAGGUGUAAGAGAUGGGUCUGGGGUAGUAGAGAGGUGUAAGAGAUGGGUCUGGGGUAGUAGAGAGGUGUAAGAGAUGGGUAUGGGGCAGUAGAGAGGUAAAAGCGAUGGGUCUGGGGUAGUAGAGAGGUGUAAGAGAUGGGUCUGGGGUAGUAGAGAGGUGUAAGAGAUGGGUCUGGGGUAGUAGAGAGGUGUAAGUGAUGGGUCUGGGGUAGUAGAGAGGUGUAAGAGAUAGGUCUGGGGUAGUAGAGAGGUGUAAGAGAUGGGUCUGGGGUAUCAGAGAGGUGUAAGAGAUGGUCUGGGGUAGUAGAGAGGUGUAAGAGAUGGGUCUGGGGUCAUAGAGAGGUAAAAUAGAUGGGUCUGGGGUAGUAGAGAGGGGUAAGAGAUGGGUCUGGGGUAGUAGAGAGGUGUAAGAGAUGGGUCUGGGGUCAUAGAGAGGUAAAAUAGAUGGGUCUGGGGUAGUAGAGAGGUGUAAGAGAUGGGUCUGGGGUAGUAGAGAGGUGUAAGAGAUGGGUCUGGGUAGUAAAGAGGUGUAAGAGAUGGGUCUGGGGUAGUAGAGAGGGGUAAGAUAUGGGUCUGGGGUAGUAGAGAGGUGUACGUGAUGGGUCUGGGGUAUCAGAGAGGUGUAAGAGAUGGUCUGGGGUAGUAGAGAGGUGUAAGAGAUGGGUCUGGGUAGUAGAGAGGUGUAAGAGAUGGGUCUGGGGUAGUAGAGAGGUGUAAGUGAUGGGUCUGGGGUAGUAAAGAGGUGUAAGUGAUGGGUCUGGGGUAGUAGAGAGGUGUAAGUGAUGGGUCUGGGGUAGUAGAGAGGUGUAAGAGAUGGGUCUGGGGUAGUAGAGAGGUGUAAGAGAUGGGUCUGGGUAGUAGUAUUAUUACUAUUGGAUAGAACACACUCUGAAGUUUCUAAAACUGUUUGAAUUAUGU